rnacentral:rRNA from 1 species
UACAGAGGGUGCGAGCGUUAAUCGGAAUUACUGGGCGUAAAGCGCACGCAGGCGGCUUGGUAUGUCGGGUGUGAAAUCCCCGGGCUCAACCUGGGAACUGCAUCCGAAACUGCCUUGCUAGAGUAUGGGAGAGGGAAGUGGAAUUUCCGGUGUAGCGGUGAAAUGCGUAGAUAUCGGAAGGAACAUCAGUGGCGAAGGCGACUUCCUGGACCAAUACUGACGCUCAGGUGCGAAAGCGUGGGGAGCAAACAGG